UACGGGAGGCAGCAGUGGGGAAUAUUGCACAAUGGGCGCAAGCCUGAUGCAGCCAUGCCGCGUGUAUGAAGAAGGCCUUCGGGUUGUAAAGUACUUUCAGUCGUGAGGAAGGUGUUAAGGUUAAUAACCUUAGCAAUUGACGUUAGCGACAGAAGAAGCACCGGCUAACUCCGUGCCAGCAGCCGCGGUAAUACGGAGGGUGCGAGCGUUAAUCGGAAUUACUGGGCGUAAAGGGCACGCAGGCGGUUAAUUAAGUUGGAUGUGAAAUCCCCGGGCUUAACCUGGGAAUGGCAUUCAAGACUGGUUAGCUAGAGUCUUGUAGAGGGGGUAGAAUUCCAUGUGUAGCGGUGAAAUGCGUAGAGAUGUGGAGGAAUACCGGUGGCGAAGGCGGCCCCGUGGACAAAGACUGACGCUCAUGUGCGAAAGCGUGGGGAGCAAACAGGGAUUAGAUACC
rnacentral:rRNA from 1 species